rfam:Alicyclobacillus sp. TSBA-503 genome assembly, contig: Ga0105849_133
UCUGGUGACCAUAGCGGAGGGGAUACACGCGUACCCAUCCCGAACACGACCGUGAAGACCUCCAGCGCCGAGCAUACUUGGGGUGAAGACCCCUGGGAACCUAGGUCGUUGCCAGGC